rnacentral:lncRNA from 1 species
UAACCAUGUGAAAAAGCUAUUGCUUGUAUUUUGUCACCAGUAUUCACCAUAUCAAUUUCUUUUUAAAUCCUUAAUAAUUGAUGGCUCGAUUGUAAAAAGUUAUUAUCUUUAGAAAAAUACCCGAUAAGCGAUAAACCUCAUUAUUCACGAUUACUGCGAUGUUAAAGUUUAACAGAAACGACCAGCAAUAUAGUAGGGAUUUCACUCUAUAAUGAAGACAAACUAGGAUGGGAUUGAACAUAAUUUGGGCUGGCUUGUUAAAUUACAUUCUACUGUAAGCCACUCUACUACUUAACGCUGUCUCUAGGCCUGUGCUGUUCUAUGCAUGCCACAUUUGGGGAUAUCAACAAAUCAACAGUACAGAAAUUUCAGACAUUUUUAAUCAAAAAAUAUUUGGCCUUUCCACCUAAACUACAGGCUAGACAUUGUAUUUAGAGACAACCAAGGACCUAUUGAUGCUAGAAGGGGCCUUAAUAUAAACGGAUGGAUCUAAGAUGGAACAGGGAGUAGGCGAAGAGGUAAAAGGGCCGAAUUACACCCAUGCGAAGCCCCUUGGACUAACCCCAACGAUUUUCCAAGCUGAAGUCCAUACAAGAGUGCACAUUGGUGAGCAGUCAUCUAGAGUAUGCUAGUGUUGUUUGUUCGCCGGAUUCUUUAAGAUAUACAUACUCUCAGAGCCGGGCAGCCAUAAAGGGGGUGCGUAUGCGUAUGCUUUCAACUCCAAACUUGUCUGGAAGUGCCUAAACUGCCUAAUGACUCUGGGAAAGCAAAACAAGAUUACCUUGAAAUGGGUUCCCAGUCACGAAGGCAUAGAAGGAAAGGAAAGGGCUGACCAUAUGUCCAAAAAAGGAGCAACCCUCUCACCCAUGGGACCAGAACCACAACUAAGUACUCAGUGUGUGUUAUAGUUGGAACUGGAAAAACGAGUUGAGAAAGAAAAACUCACUGGACAAAUACUCCAGAUAAGAGGCAAGCUAAGAGAUCUAUAAACAUCUCAAAACGGAAGUCGAAAGAACUCCUCUUUCUCAGAAGGCAGGAUUUGAGAAAAAUUCUAGGCCUCUACACCGGCCAUUGCCCUCGUAUCAUCUUAAAAGGCAAGGCUGAGAGAGAAACAUGCCGGCUUUGCCACGAGAAACCAAGUAGAUCACGAAAAGGCACCAAGGAACGUGCUCAGAUAGCUCACUUUCCAAAGUAUGGCAAUAAGCUAUAGUUCCCCAAUAGACCUGAUUUGGUCACAAUGGAUGAAUGAAUCGUAUUCUGCAUCAACACCAAAUAAACCAUAAAAAAAAGUAUUGUGGAUAAAAACUGUCAUCGUCUUAUUAUUAUAUUUACAGGCAACGUAAAAUUCACAAAUCACACCUACUUAGGUCCAAAACAUCCUGCAUUUAUUUGGGUAUUAUCCUUCCUUGCGGUAUUUUAAUGUUAACAGGAGAAAUUAGGGGAUCAGAAGAAAAUUUCAUCGUUUCCAGCAGUUUCGUAGAAAUGGUUUUUAAUACUUUUAUUUACAAUUCUUUAUGCAGCUAGAAGCUUUAUCCAGCACUUGGAACCGCUCUUUUUUUUUUAAUUUUACCUGCUCCUCCCGGGACAGGACAGGCAUUACCAAAUAUUAAAUCUACGCUGUAUGUAAGUUUUUCGCAGUCGAUUUUUAGUAACGAUUUACUGGGUAGAGUUGUGUCAGAUGGCUUGUAACAGAGUUGCGAAGGUUUGCAAAAGCAAAAACGAGCGGUAUCAAUUGCAUACAUGGCUGCCAAUAGCCCGAUAGUAUAGUAGAUAGUAAAUGUUAAACAAUUGGCCAAAAGGGGGCGUCGGUGGCCGCAA